AUUGAACGCUGGCGGCAGGCUUAACACAUGCAAGUCGAGCGAGGAAAGGUAGCUUGCUACCUGACCUAGCGGCGGACGGGUGAGUAAUGCUUAGGAAUCUGCCUAUUAGUGGGGGACAACAUCUCGAAAGGGAUGCUAAUACCGCAUACGUCCUACGAGAGAAAGCAGGGGACCUUCGGGCCUUGCGCUAAUAGAUGAGCCUAAGUCGGAUUAGCUAGUUGGUGGGGUAAAGGCCUACCAAGGCGACGAUCUGUAGCGGGUCUGAGAGGAUGAUCCGCCACACUGGGACUGAGACACGGCCCAGACUCCUACGGGAGGCAGCAGUGGGGAAUAUUGGACAAUGGGGGGAACCCUGAUCCAGCCAUGCCGCGUGUGUGAAGAAGGCCUUUUGGUUGUAAAGCACUUUAAGCGAGGAGGAGGCUACCGAGAUUAAUACUCUUGGAUAGUGGACGUUACUCGCAGAAUAAGCACCGGCUAACUCUGUGCCAGCCGCCGCGGUAA
rnacentral:rRNA from 1 species